UAUGCCCAUAUCACAUUGAAACACUAGUUCUGGUAUGAUCACUGAAGUUAAGCAAUGUCAAACCUCUUCAGUACUUAGAUGGGUGACCCCUUGGGAAUGUCAGGUGCUGUAA